GAUGAACGCUGGCGGCGUGCUUAACACAUGCAAGUCGAACGGAAAGGCUCCUGCUUGCAGGGGUACUCGAGUGGCGAACGGGUGAGUAACACGUGGGUUAUCUGCCCUGCACUUCGGGAUAAGCUUGGGAAACUGGGUCUAAUACCGGAUAGGACCGCAUUUUGGAUGGUGUGGUGGAACGUUUUUUCGGUGUGGGAUGAGCUCGCGGCCUAUCAGCUUGUUGGUGGGGUAAUGGCCUACCAAGGCGUCGACGGGUAGCAGGCCUGAGAGGGUGUACGGCCACAUUGGGACUGAGAUACGGCCCAGACUCCUACGGGAGGCAGCAGUGGGGAAUAUUGCACAAUGGGCGCAAGCCUGAUGCAGCGACGCCGCGUGGGGGAUGACGGCCUUCGGGUUGUAAACUCCUUUCGCUAGGGACGAAGAGUAAUUGACGGUACCUGGAGAAGAAGCACCGGCUAACUACGUG
rnacentral:rRNA from 1 species